GGGGGCGCACUGGUUUCGACGGGGACGUGGAAGCCGGAAUUGCAGGUCGAGGCGCCGCUGGCCUCGUAAAAAGCGGCACAAUAGUAAUUGGCAACGAUUACGAUUACGCUUACGCAGCUUAAUUAAGCUGCCCGUGAUGGAGAGUCCUUCGCCUGUCGGAUUCCCGGAGCGGACACACUUGACAGGCGUAGCAUCUGUCCGCGUUCGCCGGGACGGAUGUGAACAUAUAAGGCGGACUGCCCGACAGAAGCCCGGUCAGGGGCCAAACUGCCGGUAAGAUACAUACCUGACAUAAACCUGUAGAUGUUUCGCGUGGACAUUUCUCGGACGCGGGUUCAAUUCCCGCCGCCUCCACCA
rnacentral:tmRNA from 1 species